GCUCUGGUGUCUCUGCUCUAAACUGCUUUUGUGCGUAGCACUCCUCUCGUGUAUGAGCAAUUAUUUAAUGCCAUCCUUCUGUCUGUCCGUUCGUCUCUCUUAGUCCACUUGUCCGUUUGUCCGUCUGUCCGUCUGUUCCUCUUGUUAACGUUGUCUUUGGGGCUGGGCCUGUGCCUGGGAUCGCCUUUGUCUUUGCCAUCCAGGCAGGCGUCACCUCCUCAGCCCCCUUUUGUGUCGCUC
rnacentral:lncRNA from 1 species